rnacentral:tRNA from 1 species
UAGCUCAGUCGGUAGAGGAUGUGCCUGCAGUGCAGAAGACCCAGGUUCGAUUCCUGG